AACGAACGCUGGCGGCAGGCUUAACACAUGCAAGUCGAACGCCCCGCCAGGGGAGUGGCCGACGGGUGAGUAACGCGUGGGAACAUACCCUUUCCUGCGGAAUAGCUCCGGGAAACUGGAAUUAAUACCGCAUACGCCCUACGGGGGAAAGAUUUAUCGGGGAAGGAUUGGCCCGCGUUGGAUUAGCUAGUUGGUGGGGUAAAGGCCUACCAAGGCGACGAUCCAUAGCUGGUCUGAGAGGAUGAUCAGCCACAUUGGGACUGAGACACGGCCCAAACUCCUACGGGAGGCAGCAGUGGGGAAUAUUGGACAAUGGGCGCAAGCCUGAUCCAGCCAUGCCGCGUGAGUGAUGAAGGCCUUAGGGUUGUAAAGCUCUUUCACCGAUGAAGAUAAUGACGGUAGUCGGAGAAGAAGCCCCGGCUAACUUCGUG
rnacentral:rRNA from 1 species